AGGCGGACACCGUCCUGGUUCAGACUAGGGCCUCUCCUUCUUCGGUUGCUUUACUUCUGAGGCCGGCUCUUCCUCAAGGCCCCUCUGCCUGCAGCCCUGGAUUGCCACCUCUGAUCUCUGAGUCCCGAACUGUGCUAAAUCCACUUAAACAUCCUGUGAGGCCUUUCUAAGUCAGCAAAACUGCCUUUAAGGUUUUGUUUUGGAUUCCAGAGACGGGCCACCCAGGAGUAGACUCCGUGUGCGCAUCUUCAGAACUGAUCUGACCUCCAGCUGUGUUUAAACACCAGUGAGCCAGAAGACCAACAGCCUUUGCCAGCUGAGUGUGAGCAUAUGUUGAUGCUCAAAAGUUUAGAAUUUCUGCAUUUGGUGUAAAGUCAGGAAUCAUCACUUUGAUGUUUUCUUUUUUUUUUGCUGCCUCUCAGGCCUCUCCUUUUCAGUUCCUCUUGCU
ensembl:lncRNA